AUUGAACGCUGGCGGCAGGCCUAACACAUGCAAGUCGAACGGUAACAGGAAGAAGCUUGCUUCUUUGCUGACGAGUGGCGGACGGGUGAGUAAUGUCUGGGAAACUGCCUGAUGGAGGGGGAUAACUACUGGAAACGGUAGCUAAUACCGCAUAACGUCGCAAGACCAAAGAGGGGGACCUUCGGGCCUCUUGCCAUCGGAUGUGCCCAGAUGGGAUUAGCUUGUUGGUGGGGUAACGGCUCACCAAGGCGACGAUCCCUAGCUGGUCUGAGAGGAUGACCAGCCACACUGGAACUGAGACACGGUCCAGACUCCUACGGGAGGCAGCAGUGGGGAAUAUUGCACAAUGGGCGCAAGCCUGAUGCAGCCAUGCCGCGUGUAUGAAGAAGGCCUUCGGGCUGUAAAGUACUUUCAGCGGGGAGGAAGGGAGUAAAGUUAAUACCUUUGCUCAUUGACGUUACCCGCAGAAGAAGCACCGGCUAACUCCGUG
rnacentral:rRNA from 1 species